rnacentral:tRNA from 2 species
GGUGAUAUGGCCGAGUGGGUCUAAGGCGCCUGGUUAGUUUUCAGGUCUCGAAAGAGGCGUGGGUUCGAACCCCACUGUCACCA